rnacentral:rRNA from 1 species
UACGUAGGGUGCGAGCGUUGUCCGGAAUUACUGGGCGUAAAGAGCUUGUAGGUGGCUUGUCGCGUUGUUCGUGAAAUCUCACGGCUUAACUGUGAGCGUGCGGGCGAUACGGGCAGACUAGAGUACUGCAGGGGAGACUGGAAUUCCUGGUGUAGCGGUGGAAUGCGCAGAUAUCAGGAGGAACACCGGUGGCGAAGGCGGGUCUCUGGGCAGUAACUGACGCUGAGGAGCGAAAGCGUGGGGAGCGAACAGG